GACGAACGCUGGCGGCGUGCCUAAUACAUGCAAGUCGAACGCAGUUGGGACGGGUGAGUAACACGUGGGUAACCUCCCAUCAGAGGGGAUAACACUUGGAAACAGGUGCUAAACCGAAACCGAAGGAUGGACCCGCGGUGCAUUAGCUAGUUGGUGAAGUAACGGCUCUCCAAGGCCACUAUGCAUAGCCGACCUGAGAGGAUGAUGAGCCAGACUGAGACUGAUACACGGCCCAGACGCCGACGGCAGGAAGCAGUAGGGAAUCGUCGACAAUGGACGAAAGUCUAACCAAGCCACGCCGCGUGAGUGAAGAAGGUUUGCGGAUCGUAAAACACUGUUGUUAGAGAAGCGGUAACUAACCAAAAAGCAACGGCUAACUACGUGCCAGCAGCCGCGGUAAUAC
rnacentral:rRNA from 1 species